rnacentral:lncRNA from 1 species
CACCUCCAGCUCCACCACAAAGGGCGUCUGCACGUCGCGCUUGAUCAGGCGCCAGAAAGGCCGAUCGGGCUCCAUGGCCCAGAGCAGCCCCAUGGGCUCGAGCCCCGAGAAGCUGCCGCCCAGCGCGGGCGUGCGCGCCAGGUCCAGCUCGCCGUGGGAGUCCGCGCGGUAGCGCGCGUGGGCUCGGAAGAGCGCGCCCUUCUCGUCGCGCAGGACAGAGCGCAGCGUGACGGGCUGCUCCGGGGCCAGGCCGCGCACAGCGAUGUGCACCGGCUGGUCACAAAGGCAACCACCCGCGGGCUCCAGGAUCACGGCAAACCCACUACAGUCUACAGGAGGCUCUGCUGUGGGUACUGCCCAGGUGUUUGCCAAAGAAGAAUAGAAUUUGCUUCCAUGCAUCUAUCUGGGCUUUGGAGUGAGCCUUGACCUCCCCUCCCCAAAUCACAGCUUCGUUCACUAUUUUGUGCAGGGAAGCUGGGCACAUGGGAAAGUAAGGUGGUUCGAUGUAAUGCCCAGUCCCAGGGUAAGAGAGUACCUGGGGCCUUUCCUUUCCAUGAGCCUGUAACCGGUCCGAGGCUAUCUGAGUAUAUAACUCACUCCUCCAGCAAUGAUCAUCCUGGCCAGCCACAAAGAGGAUGGGCCCCUUGGCCUUCUCUAUUGGUAUCAUGCUGGGGUUCUCACAGCCUCCUACAGCAUCAUUCCGUAUAUCCACAAUGUCCAGAAUGCCAGAGAAAGCCACCUUCAUUCUCCUCAGGUCAUGGCCCAACGGCGGAAUCAUGGUCUGCUUGUACUUGAUAUGUCUGUUUCCACUGAAUGCAGAGCCAUUGAUGGAAACUGUGGCUGAGACAUUAUUCAAGAAGGAAGCCAUGAUCAGACAGACAUCAGCUCCUAGGGAAAGACCCAGAAGCCCAAUGUCUGGGCCUUUUACCUAGAAAGAAAGAAAGAAAAAAAAAAGAUGAGAUCAGCUGUUGUUCCAGGAGACCAUGCUAAACCUUGGGGUGAGGAGUACAUUUUGGAAGGAGGAUUUGCAAGCCUUAGACUGUCCCCUCCUCCUGCUCUGCCAAGGGCUGCAGACAAUGGGAAGUGUGUGGCAGAGGAGAGUGUUACAGUGGUUGAGAGCCCUCCCUGUUCUUGCAGAGGACCCAGGACCCAGGACCGGGGCUCACAAGCACAUGCAACCCCAGCUCAAGGGGAUCUGAUCCCCUCUUCUGACACCCCCCUCCCCGCCCCGUGAGCACCAGCACACACAAACCAUACACACAUGAGAAAACAAAAUACAUUUAUUUUUAUGUGUUAGAGUUUUGCUUCUGUAUUUAUCUGUGUGAGAGUGUCAGAUCUCCCAGUACAGGAGUUACAGACAGCUGUGAGCUGUCAUGCAGGUGCUGGGAAUUGAACCCAGGUUCUAACCCCCCCCCCCCAGCUCAGGUUUCACUGUUAGCAAGAAGAGAGCAUCAGGGUGGAGCCUGUCACCCUAUCGUUCUGCCACUCCCACUGCUGGAGCCUGCCGCCUUGCUGUUCCGACGUGGUCACCUGAAGCUGACUCCAGGAUGAUUUGGCGGGAAUGGGCCCUUUCCCCUUCCUUCAUAACUCGGUGCACGAAAUAGUAAAAUUGAGCUUUGAUUAGAACCUGGUUGUCUUAGCUCCGUCUCUCUCGCAUCGCCUAGCCCCAUCUUCUCUUCCAGGUUCCAAGAUGCUUCUCAGACUAGAACCCAGACAUGUGAGCCGCUGGCCAGCCGCAACAGAUCUGGCGACCCAACGCGGGACUGAGAAACAACAGAGGACAUUUGGAAGAAGCACUGCUGGUUUGGAGCUCCAUAGAAGAAGAAAAUAAUUAAAGGAAAUUCAUACCGGAGAAAGUCGGUAUGGGCUAAGUUGAAACAGCGUUAAACCUGCACGCUAAUUCACUUAGGUUCACCAGUGAGGUUUAUUAGGGGCUAGGAACGUAACAGGUGGUUAGCCGUAGCUCCCAGUUAGGCGUGAGAAAAGAAAGGGUUUAUUAAAAGGAAAUUACUAAUCAGGCAGAUGGCCGCAGUUAAAAACUGCAUCAUGCGGGAGGAAAAUGUCCCAAAAAGCAGAGAGAAAUUUCAGGGGUGCCCUGCUUUGUUCUCUCUGGGCUUUACAGCAGAAGUACUCUGCCCCUUUUGUGUCUUUGUCUAAUGUCUGGUGCACCAAUCUGUUCAUUUGUUCAAUUUCAUGUAUGUUCGUGUCCAGUCUGAAUGAAUGAAUGUUCUAUGUUUUAUGUUGGAUAAUAAAGAUGGCUAAAAAAAAAAAAACUUUAUCUGCAAAGCCGAGAGCGGCCACAUGCUUCAACCAGGAAACAGGCACACGGCAAGAGGGCCCCUGCUGGAAAAGCUGUUCCUUAUAGGAAAAAAGGAGAGUCUACAGCCUCUUAGUUUUGGGGUAAAAAAGCUGAUAAACUUUUUUUUUUUCUUAGAGGGUUCUCUACAUUCGUGAUUAAUGUGUUUGGCAAAUGAUAAAGUACUUUUUAUUCUAUGAUUAUAGCUAGAAAAAUUAAUGUUCUCUGAUUGGUCUAAAUGUAACUGCUUCCUUUGUUUUUUUUUUUUUUUAAUUGGUAAUAUGCUCUGAGUGUUUUCACAAUCAGCUCAUAAGUUAUUAGUUAAGAUUAAUAGUUGUUACAUUGGUAACAGAUGGUUAGCCUUAAAAUUGAUAACUCAAGUUUAAAGUCCUUCCAACACGUGGCAUAAGGCAGGCCAAGAGGCUGGGUCUCUAAAGAUACUUCUAGUUGAGAUAAUAAUUAAUGUGAUUCUUAUCCUAGAAAGUAGAAUUAAAGAUAAAAUUUUAAGUAAUGUCUCUUUAAUAAAACAUUAAAGCUUGCAUGUAUUCAUAGGUAUUAAUUGGCAGCCAAACUUUGUAAUAUGAUGGUAAUGCUUCUAAUAUUAAUUCUAUAAGUAAUAAAUUGUUUUAAAAUUGGGGAUUGUUGUGGCAUAUCCCGAGCUAGUGUCUCGCCAGCAUGAACACACUCGGACAACCGGAUUCUUCUACAGCAAAGCUUUACUGCUUCAUCAGAAGGAAGACCCCGAACCCGGAAAAUGGCGCUGCUUAUAUACUCCUCCGCACGGCGUGUCAGCACCUGAUUUGUUGCUCG